rnacentral:ncRNA from 1 species
AUAACAGCAAUGAGAAAGAGGAGUAGUUGAAAAGAACACUUAAGCGAGCUGGGGAAAGUGAAAGCCCAGUGUGGUUCAUCAAUGAAGGGCACUUUUGAGCUAAAUUACACAAAGUGGAUACAAUAUGUAUCAACUAGGGUGGAACCGCGGAAGAAAAGUCUUUCGUCCCUAAU